CCGUGUUCCUCUCCCCGCCCCCGCCCCGUGGGCGCGAGAGGAGGCGGGGGGCUCCUUGUGCACCAGAGACGCAGCUGCCUUGUUCGCCCGGUGGGGUGUGGGUCCUCCGAGCGGUGCUGGGAAGGGGGUUCUCUCCGCCCGCGCGCCCAGGACUCUACCCAGGGCGGAGGUCCCGAGUGGGCCGCCCCCCGCAGCGCCCUGGGUUCGCGGGCCCAGAGGCUGGAGACAGCGGGGAGCUAGGGUCCCUCACCCUCCCCUCGCCGCGUGCCUCCGCAGGAGUCGGGCUCCCCGUUCCCCGCGAUGGCCGCGGGCCGCAGUCGUACGGAGCCGCCGCGCGGACCCCGGGGCGCCCCUCCCUAGCGGGGCGCAGCUCCUUCUUGUUCCCCGCCCGGCCAGCGGGAUGGGGGGCGGCGGGUCGGCCCUGAGGGUCUGCGCCGACCACCGCGGGGGCAUCAACUGGCUGAGCCUGAGCCCCGACGGGCAGCGCCUGCUGACGGGCAGCGAGGACGGCACGGCCCGGCUCUGGAGCACCGCGGACGGCCAGUGCUGCGCGCUCCUGCAAGGUGCCUCGUGCCUCUUUGUGGCCAAUUGUGCUCUUCUGCUGGCAUUUCCUGUUGACGACUAUCACAGUAACAAUAGGGGCUUGUUAAGGGCCAGCGGUGCGGAGAAGUGUGCCGUCGUCACACUAUGUUACCCCACAUACAGACGUGGAAACAGGCUGGGAGUUAAGUAAUUCGCCCAGGUCGCACAGCCAGUGAGGGGUAGAUGGCAGUCUGAGCCCUCUCAUUGCUGUAAACUCUGCCUGCAUGCCUGUUGGUUUCUAUUUGUGUCCUGUACUCACUCAGGAGGUCAGUGUGCCUCGGGUGCACCUUUCCCUGGGCCUGUCCCAUGCACUGUGAGGUCCCUUUCAGCUCUGGCCCUCCUACUGCCCAGGUAGCACACGUAGUCACUUGGAUGAGCCGUGAGGCUUUCUGUUGUGGGUAGUUGUUUAUCACCGCCGGCUUUUCCACCAUCAUCAGUGAACCCUCUGUGGCCUUGCCCAGGCCUUCCAACUUA
rnacentral:sRNA from 1 species